rnacentral:rRNA from 1 species
GCCGGGGACUCAUCGAAGACUGCCGGGGUCAACUCGGAGGAAGGUGGGGAUGAGGUCAAGUCAUCAUGCCCCUUAUGUCCAGGGCUUCACGCAUGCUACAAUGGCCGGUACAAAGGGCUGCGAUACCGUGAGGUGGAGCGAAUCCCAAAAAGCCGGUCUCAGUUCGGAUCGGGGUCUGCAACUCGACCCCGUGAAGUCGGAGUCGCUAGUAAUCGCAGAUCAGCAACGCUGCGGUGAAUACGUUCCCGGGCCUUGUACACACCGCCCGUCACGUCACGAAAGUCGGCAACACCCGAAGCCCAUGGCCUAACCCCUUCGGGGGAGGGAGUGGUCGAAGGUGGGGCUGGCGAUUGGGACGAAGUCGUAACAAGGUAGCCGUACCGGAAGGUGC